rnacentral:lncRNA from 1 species
UCUAGAAGAAAAGUAAGAAUUUCUAAUGGAAUGUACCUAAUGCACAUUCACCCAGACAGUCCAGUACAUGGAAUAGGAAGGAAGACCUAUGCUGCUCAGGGAUGGACAAAGGGAAGGUGGGCAAGAAUAUAGGGACCUAGUGCAGCAUUAUUCUGGGAUGUUCUCCUGUGAUCCUCAUUCUUCAGGUGAGU